GAGUUUGAUCGUGGCUCAGAACGAACGCUGGCGGCAGGCCUAACACAUGCAAGUCGAGCGCUUCACUUCGGUGAGGAGCGGCGAACGGGUUAGUAACGCGUGGGAACGUACCCAAAGGUAGGGAAUAGCCACUGGAAACGGUGAGUAAUGCCCUAUGUGCCCUUCGGGGAAAGAUUAUCGCCUUUGGAUCGGCCCGCGUUAGAUUAGGUAGUUGGUGGGGUAAUGGCCUACCAAGCCUACGAUCUAUAGCUGGUUUGAGAGGAUGAUCAGCAACACUGGGACUGAGACACGGCCCAGACUCCUACGGGAGGCAGCAGUGGGGAAUCUUAGACAAUGGGCGAAAGCCUGAUCUAGCCAUGCCGCGUGAGUGAUGAAGGCCUUAGGGUCGUAAAGCUCAUUCGCCAGGGAUGAUAAUGACAGUACCUGGUAAAGAAACCCCGGCUAACUCCGUGCCAGCGCCGCUGU
rnacentral:rRNA from 1 species